rnacentral:snoRNA from 1 species
GCGCAAAUGAUGGAAAAAUCACUAUUUGGUGGGGGGGGGAAAUGACAUGAACAAAGGAACCACUGAUAUGC